rnacentral:lncRNA from 1 species
UUUUAAAUGUGCCACUAACAUGAUGCUGUCAUUUCAUUGUCAUUCUAGCAGUAAGGAUUCUGAGUCCUUAGCACUCUGUUUGACCCAGCCUCUCCUUCCAGGAAAUGACUAAAUAUACUCAUUCAGAGCAUAUUUAUUUUUGAGCAUCUACUUUGGGGCUACCACUGUGUUAGGCUUUCAGCACACAGCAGUGAUAAAAAUGAGCAAAAUGUCUCAUCUUAUUAAUAUGACACUAUAUUGUGGAAAAGAGAAACAAUUGUAAAAAAUAUGUUCAAGAUUGUUAAUUUUAUGAAGAAAAAUAAGACAGCAUAAGGGACAGAUCAGUCAUUUUUAUUCAUUGGUCAUUGAAAUCUUUUCUGAUAAUCGAAUAGCACAGAAGAGACCUAAAAGAACUGAAAUAAUGGGUUCUAGUGUAUCUGGGGAAAACGACUCAAGGUAAAGGGAACCAUCAUCUUUUUCAGAUGGCACUCAGAGCCAUAAGAGGUUCAGAUAGAUCCACCCAGCAGUGAGUGCAGUGGGUUUUUCUAGGCAGAAAACACAGAAGAAACAUCAAGAAAUCACAUGAUUGGCUUGCCAUGUCCAAGUCCUUUUCUAAUUUUGUUUUUCUUUUUAAAGCAUAUUUUUUGCCUGCUACCAUGACUUGUAAUUUUUGAUGAUGUUGUUGAAAGCUGAUGUAUUCAUUUGCUAUGCGUACCAUAGCAUUCUGGUAGUUUGAUGACAACCUUUGGCAUUCCUUGGCUUGAAGUAGCAUUACUUCAAUCUAUUCCUUUAUCUUCAAAAGAUAAUAUUCCUGGGUGCAUGUCCAACUUUUUUUAAAUAAGGACACCAGUUUCAAAGGUAAAGCCCAGACACUGGUUAAGGUAGUGAGGACAGAUUUUAAUUAGUAACAUAUUUUGGGGUAUUUGUGGGUUUUUCACCUAAAAUGUAAUCUUACACAGGCUGUAGAUUAUAUCUCUGUUUCCAGGAAGCCCCGUGUGUUGCUUUGUGUGUGCAUCAGUCUCUCGAGAACCCCCUGUGAAUCAGGAGGCAUACGUUCCAGUGACUAUAGGGAGUCGAGGGGCUAAAGAGGUAAGUGAAACAUCUGGUAGGGGUAAAAGGAUGGGUAUAUAUCAAAAGUCAGGGGUGUUUAAUGGAAAAGAGGUGCAUAUCAAAGUGUCAGGGGAGUUCAAUGGAAAAAGUUAAGAUGGUAAAAGAAAGAAGGAAAAAAGAAGGAAAUGGGAAGGGAGCAGUCCUAUAAGAGCCACUUUAGGCAGAUCUUAAGAUUUUCAAAUAAACCAUUGCAGUUCCGAAUUAUCCACAGUAAAGUCAUUUUGCCUAAAAUAGAAGCAGACAUGGUUAGUGUCAUAGUAUAUAUAGAGAGUAGGAACCCAAAAGGGGUUUAACUGUGGAGUUCCUGUGGGAAGAGUAAGUUCAAAUAGAAUGAAGAGGUCUCACAAGAAGCCAGAGUGAACAUUCCAGCACAGGAGUUAGGAAGUGAAUUCCCACUGAAAACAGGGAGCCAGGAAGAUAAACAGCCAGCCCAGGAGAUGUCUUUCAAAAGCAGCCUGGAAUUAUAACCCAGCCUUAGAGACUACAGCCAGAAACAUAGGAAGAAAAUAUGUCCUCGCCAUGCCUCAGUGCAAAUUUCUACACAGUGUUAGGCCAGAAGUUGAACUCGCCACCAAAUACCCAAAAAAGUAAGUCAACUGAAGAUCAGACAAAGGUUUCUACGCAUGCAGAAAGGAUUGACUGUUUUGUCCAAGGGCCAGAUAAGGGUUCCAAUCUGGAUUUGAGUUCCAGUGCCAGAUAACUGUCAAGACAAACAAAAUGGAAAACUGGUUAAAGAGGAAGCUGAUGCUUACAACAAUGGAGAUUAGCAAUACCUGGACAGAGUUGAGCUUCAAAGGAUACUGAGAAAUGGCUAAAGCAGCGUGUCUCAGCAAGUUCCCCUGGCUCCAACAUCACACACUCAUCUGAGGGUAACUUUUCGUCACUAUUCAGCACUGAGCCCCGGAGUCUCCUCUCAGCUCCUUGUUUGAACUCAGAUGUCACAGAUAGAAUUAGUGUGUCCUUAUGAGCUGCACCCUUCACACGAGUAUCAAAACAGCUUAUUUAUUUUCUUACAUUUGUUUGCAUAAACAACUACAUGUAUUUUUCAAACUCCUUGGUAAAAGCCAUGUGCUAUUCAAAAUUUAAUCUUAUUUAACUAUUUUUAAUUAUAAAAUAGUACAAAAUGC